rnacentral:lncRNA from 9 species
AUGCUGACCCAGCCCUGCACCAAGCCGGCCCUGCACCAAGCCGGCUGCCAGAACCUCCCAGGAGCCGGUUUCGAUAGAGAGGCGUCGCUGUGCCGCAGAAGAACCAGCACAGUUUUGGGAUCAGCCAAGGCCAUUCACGGAAGGUGCUGGACGCAGCAGGCAGUGAGCUCGCAGGAAGUGCCGGUGGAGAAGCGGCAGCAGGAGAGGGAAGCCCGGGCCAGGACGGGACCUCCUGCGGGGCCGCGACGGGAGCCAGGGUCCCACGCCAGGAAGGUGAGUCACAGCGCGUGUCCUUCAGCCCCGACGUCUCCUCGCGGAGGAGAAGCGUGUGGGGAUGACGGGACUGGGAGGGCAAAGCAGGAUGUGUGGUGCCAGCUUAGAGAGGAGGCGGUGGGUUUGCAGCAGUGACAGUGGGUGGCGCUAGUCCUUGAAACGCGUUUCGCCUCCCGCCCAGGGAACAGCCCCGCGGGAUGGGCACCAGGGCUCUUGGACGUGCCACAGCUGCCAGUGGAGCAGGGAGCCCGGCCCCCGGGAUGAGCGCUGGGGCCUGGUCCCGACGGCUGGAGGUGGGGCCCCGCGUCCCCGCGCUCCUGAGCUCCAGGACUCCUGGGGACUCUGCAGAGGGACUUUCUGGGCAGUCAGGGAGACGAACGCUGCGCAGGACGGCUGGUCAGCCUGCAAAAGACUGUGCAGGAGGCGAAAGAAGGUGAAGUCUGAACAGGCCCAAGGCGGGCUGGGAGCCGUGGGGGCUGCUUGCU